GACGAACGCUGGCGGCGUGCUUAACACAUGCAAGUCGAACGGAAAGGCCCUGCUUUUGUGGGGUGCUCGAGUGGCGAACGGGUGAGUAACACGUGAGUAACCUGCCCUUGACUUUGGGAUAACUUCAGGAUACUGGGGCUAAUACCAGAUAGGAGCUCCUGCUGCAUGGUGGGGGUUGGAAAGUUUCGGCGGUUGGGGAUGGACUCGCGGCUUAUCAGCUUGUUGGUGGGGUAGUGGCUUACCAAGGCUUUGACGGGUAGCCGGCCUGAGAGGGUGACCGGCCACAUUGGGACUGAGAUACGGCCCAGACUCCUACGGGAGGCAGCAGUGGGGAAUAUUGCACAAUGGGCGGAAGCCUGAUGCAGCAACGCCGCGUGCGGGAUGACGGCCUUCGGGUUGUAAACCGCUUUCGCCUGUGACGAAGCGUGAGUGACGGUAAUGGGUAAAGAAGCACCGGCUAACUACGUG
rnacentral:rRNA from 1 species